UACAGAGGUCCCAAGCGUUGCUCGGAAUUACUGGGCGUAAAGCGCGUGUAGGUGGAUUGGUGUGUCAGAUGUGAAAUCCCUGGGCUCAACCCAGGAACUGCACCUGAAACUACCAGUCUUGAGUGGUGGAGAGGGAAGUGGAAUUCCUGGUGUAGAGGUGAAAUUCGUAGAUAUCAGGAGGAACACCAGUGGCGAAAGGGCGGCU
rnacentral:rRNA from 1 species